AGUAAGGAAGCCAACAAGAUCAGCAAACCAUGUGUCAGCAUUUGUCUGCAGUCGUUGUUUCAGCCAUGAAGAAGGAGAGAAUUCUGCAUUUUGAUCAAAUCAAGUGCAAAGACACAAACGGUCUUGGGAGAGGAGGUUCAAGUGAGAAUCACAAGAGAGCAGGAAUUAUGAACCUAGGGCGAUCACAGGAACCUAGGUCCCUGCAAUACAUAGAAAUCUAAUGGGUCUACACAGUAUAGGAGGCAGCAUGUGUGGGUAGGUAUAUUCCAAUGUUUACUAUGUUUGUGCAAGUAUAGUAUUACAAUAAGGUUAUGACUCCAUUUCUUAAUGUUUGUCUGCUAACAACUUUUAAGCUUCUCCUCUUCCUUUUCCUCUUUUUUCCCAUAUGUGGGCAACCUGAUUAGAAAGCCUAAUACUUUCUCCUUUGGCACCUGCAGGAAGUUCAAGCCGCAUACAGGAAUCCUCACCUCAGUCUUCCUCUCUGAUUACAUAAAAACCCCAUGCUAGUCUUUUUUCCCUCCUCUGUCAAACUACUUUUGGAUUUGCUUGGAAUCUAUCUUCCUCAAAAAGCCUCA
rnacentral:lncRNA from 1 species